AAAACCACUAAACAGAGGCCCAGUGCACCUAGCCCACUAACCUAAACCUAAUGGCCCAAUGGCCCAACACUGAAAGACAGUUAAUAGAAAACCCUAGCAAGCUAUCGCGCCGCAAUCGAACACAGGCUCUGCCCUCGUACAUGCACCACCGUCGCGUACCACACCUCCCUACAUGCCACGUCCACCACCUCCAUACACCAACUGGUCUCCGUACCUGCAAAGAAGAUGAAAACAACACAGCAAAACAACAACAACAAUAGGCCAGCAUAUAAAAAAACGGAAGAAAUAAUAGAAAAAGGAGAAGAAAAGGAUAAAACCAUUUUUGUAAUAUUCGGAAAUAUAAAAAGCCAAUUGAUUCAUUCUUGUAAGGUUACAUACACGAAUAUGGAAUAGAAAAAAAGGGAUUCAGAUAAAAAAAAGGUGAUUUUGAGUUUUUUUCUUCUUCGCUCCUCUCGAUUUUUCUUUUUUCCGACUUUUAGAUUUCAUUUUCUUUUAUUUACUGUUUAAGAAAGGGAAACGAAAGGAAGGUGAAGGUUUUUACCUUUGUGGGGAAGUCAAACCCUCGUCCUCUUCAUCGUAAUAGGAGAUAGGGCGAGGAAUCGGGGCCUCCAAGCGUCGGUUGGGCGAACGGCG
rnacentral:lncRNA from 1 species